rnacentral:lncRNA from 1 species
GCCUGAUAUUCAUAUGAUGAAGACAUAAUCUUUCAAAUGGACGUCAAGUUGGUUACUUAUCUCUCAAUCAGUUUAAUUGAAGUUUGGAGCUGGCAUGUUAGUAACUGCUAGUAGUCUGUUGUUAUUUAUGUAUUAUUGUCAUUUUGUUUAUUUUCUUUUGUUUCAUAUUCUGACAUCAGACUUCUCUUAAACAGGCAUGGGGUAAUCGUAAUCAGCUGUAAUCGAUUACAUUUUGCAGUGUAAUCCUAUGUAAUCAGUAAUCAUGCCAUUUCUGAUUACAAGUAAUCAUAAUGUAAUCGAUUACAUUGCAAAAAACAGGUGUAAUCAUGAUUACUUUUAGAUUACUUUAAGAUUACAUUCAUAUGAUUACUUGCUGAUUACAAAUCUU